ACGGAGGGGGCUAGCGUUGUUCGGAAUUACUGGGCGUAAAGCGCACGUAGGCGGCUUUGUAAGUCAGAGGUGAAAGCCUGGAGCUCAACUCCAGAACUGCCUUUGAGACUGCAUCGCUUGAAUCCAGGAGAGGUCAGUGGAAUUCCGAGUGUAGAGGUGAAAUUCGUAGAUAUUCGGAAGAACACCAGUGGCGAAGGCGGCUGACUGGACUGGUAUUGACGCUGAGGUGCGAAAGCGUGGGGAGCAAACAGG
rnacentral:rRNA from 1 species